AUUGAACGCUGGCGGCAUGCCUUACACAUGCAAGUCGAACGGUAACAGGUCUUCGGAUGCUGACGAGUGGCGAACGGGUGAGUAAUACAUCGGAACGUGCCUAGUAGUGGGGGAUAACUACUCGAAAGAGUGGCUAAUACCGCAUGAGAUCUACGGAUGAAAGCAGGGGAUCGCAAGACCUUGUGCUACUAGAGCGGCCGAUGGCAGAUUGGGUAGUGGGUGGGAUGAAAGCUUACCAAGCCGACGAUCUGUGCCUGGUCUGAGAGGACGAUCAGCCACACUGGGACUGAGAAACGGCCCCGACUCCUACGGGAGGCAGAAGUGGGGAAUAUUGGACAAUGGGCGCAAGCCUGAUCCAGCAAUGCCGCGUGGGUGAAGAAGGCCUUCGGGUUGUAAAGCCCUUUUGUACGGGAAGAAAAGCUUCGGAUUAAUACUUCGAGGUCAUGACGGUACCGUAAGAAUAAGCACCGGCUAACUUCGUGCCAGCAGCCGCCGCAGUAA
rnacentral:rRNA from 1 species